GAUGAACAACGCAGCGAAAUGCGAUAAGUAAUGUGAAUUGCAGAAUUCAGUGAAUCAUCGAAUCUUUGAACGCACAUUGCGCCCCCUGGUAUUCCGGGGGGCAUGCCUGUUCGAGCGUCAUUUAAACCUUCAAGCUAAGCUUGGUGUUGGGUGACUGUCCGCUUCACGGCGGACUCGCCUCAAAAUUAUUGGCGGCCGGUACAUUGGCUUCGAGCGCAGCAGAAACGCGAACUCGGGCCCGUCGUAUUGGCUCCCAGAAGCUAUCUUCACAAUUUUGACCUCGGAUCAGGUAGGGAUACCCGCUGAACUUAAGCAUAUCAAUAAGCGGAGGA
rnacentral:misc_RNA from 1 species